UACGUAGGUGGCGAGCGUUGUCCGGAUUUAUUGGGUUUAAAGGGUGCGUAGGCGGCCCUGUAAGUCAGUGCUGAAAUAUCUCGGCUUAACCGAGAGGGUGGCAUUGAUACUGCAGGGCUUGAGUACAGAUGAGGUAGGCGGAAUUGACGGUGUAGCGGUGAAAUGCAUAGAUAUCGUCAAGAACACCGAUAGCGAAGGCAGCUUACUGGGCUGUAACUGACGCUGAUGCACGAAAGUGUGGGGAUCAAACAGG
rnacentral:rRNA from 1 species